rnacentral:rRNA from 1 species
UACGUAGGGGGCUAGCGUUGUCCGGAUUUAUUGGGCGUAAAGAGCGUGUAGGCGGCCAGGUAGGUCUGCUGUGAAAACUCGAGGCUCAACCUCGAGACGUCGGCGGAAACCAUCUGGCUAGAGUCCGGAAGAGGAGAGUGGAAUUCCUGGUGUAGCGGUGAAAUGCGCAGAUAUCAGGAAGAACACCCGUGGCGAAGGCGGCUCUCUGGGACGGUACUGACGCUGAGACGCGAAAGCG